UUGUGGCUCAGCGGUAGAGCGCUCACCUCGCAUGUGCAAGAGCCUGGGUUCGAUCCUCAGCAUAAA
rnacentral:tRNA from 1 species